UACGUAGGGGGCUAGCGUUGUCCGGAAUCAUUGGGCGUAAAGCGCGUGUAGGCGGCCCGGUAAGUCCGCUGUGAAAGUCGGGGGCUCAACCCUCGGAUGCCGGUGGAUACUGUCGGGCUUGAGUACGGAAGAGGCGAGUGGAAUUCCUGGUGUAGCGGUGAAAUGCGCAGAUAUCAGGAGGAACACCAAUUGCGAAGGCAGCUCGCUGGGACGUUACUGACGCUGAGACGCGAAAGCGUGGGGAGCAAACAGG
rnacentral:rRNA from 1 species